rnacentral:rRNA from 1 species
GAUGAACGCUGGCGGCGUGCCUAAUACAUGCAAGUAGAACGCUGAAGGAGGAGCUUGCUCUUCUGGAUGAGUUGCGAACGGGUGAGUAACGCGUAGGUAACCUGCCUGGUAGCGGGGGAUAACUAUUGGAAACGAUAGCUAAUACCGCAUGACAACAGUUAUUGCAUGAUAACUGUUUAAAAGGGGCAACUGCUCCACUACCAGAUGGACCUGCGUUGUAUUAGCUAGUUGGUGAGGUAACGGCUCACCAAGGCGACGAUACAUAGCCGACCUGAGAGGGGGAUCGGCCACACUGGGACUGAGACACGGCCCAGACUCCUACGAGAGGCAGCAGUAGGGAAACUUCGGCAAUGGACGGAAGUCUGACCGAGCAACGCCGCGUGAGUGAAGAAGGUUUUCGGAUCGUAAAGCUCUGUUGUAAGAGAAGAAAGAGUGUGAGAGUGGAAAGUUCACACUGUGACGGUAUCUUACCAGAAAGGGACGGCUAACUACGUG